rnacentral:rRNA from 1 species
UACGUAGGGGGCAAGCGUUGUCCGGAAUCAUUGGGCGUAAAGAGCGUGUAGGCGGCCUGGUAAGUCCGCUGUGAAAGUCCAGGGCUCAACCCUGGAAUGCCGGUGGAAACUGUCAGGCUCGAGUCCGGAAGAGGCGAGUGGAAUUCCUGGUGUAGCGGUGAAAUGCGCAGAUAUCGGGAAGAACACCCGUGGCGAAGGCGGCGAUCUGGGAAGAUACUGACGCUGAGGUGCGAAAGCGUGGGGAGCAAACAGG